rnacentral:rRNA from 1 species
CACGGGGUUGCGAGCGUUGUCCGGAACUUACUAGGCGUAAAGGGCAGGCAGGCGGAUCCAUAAGUUUAUCGUUUAAGGCGUCGGCUUAACCGGCGUAGGGCGGUAGAUACUGUGGAUCUUGAAUGCGGUUGGGGAAGACAGAGUUCCUGGUGUAGCGGUGGAAUGCGCAGAGAUCAGGAGGAAUACCGAAGGCGAAGGCAGUCUUCCAAGCCGUUAUUGACGCUCAACUGCGAAGGUGUGGGUAUCAAACAGGAUUAGAUACCCUGGUAGUCCCUGA